AGAUGACAGAUGGCUGGGAUGAGCAGGCAGGACCCUGGGGUGGGUGUACAUGAGCAGCAGUGCCGCGGGGAACCCAGUGCAGCCCCCCACCCUUGCCUCCCCUCCUGCGCUCUACCUGGAAGAUGGCUUCUGGGAAAGUGCCUGGAAUCAGUAGAUGCGUAACAUUAUAAGGGAUUUAGAGGCUGUUUCAGAAAUCACUGUUUACUUUGGUUUGUGCUUGUAUGCGUGCCUGUGAAGAGACUGUUUGCAAGCCUCUGGACUGUAGCCAGCCAGGAUCCUCUGUCCGUGGAAUUCUUCAGGCAAGAGUACUGGAGUGGACUGCCAUGCCCUCCUCUGGAGAUUUUCCUAAACCAGGGAUGGAACCCACGUCUCUUUAUGUCUCCUGUAUUGGCAGACGAGCACACCGAGACUGCCAAAUGCCAAGGAACCGGGGAGAGGAGGUCGGAACACAGAUUUGACCUGUCUCCAAUGCUUCUGCCCAAGUCCAUGCUUUAAGCUACACCA